AUCCAACGGACGAAUCACAAAUAGGACGAAACGCGCGUCCUAGAU
rnacentral:hammerhead_ribozyme from 1 species